AGUGAACGCUGGCGGUAGGCCUAACACAUGCAAGUCGAACGGCAGCACAGUAAGAGCUUGCUCUUACGGGUGGCGAGUGGCGGACGGGUGGGGAAUACAUAGGAAUCUACUUUUUCGUGGGGGAUAACGUAGGGAAACUUACGCUAAUACCGCAUACGACCUACGGGUGAAAGCAGGGGAUCUUCGGACCUUGCGCGAUUGAAUGAGCUGAUGUCGGAUUAGCUAGUUGGCGGGGUAAAGGCCCACCAAGGCGACGAUCCGUAGCUGGUCUGAGAGGAUGAUCAGCCACACUGGAACUGAGACACGGUCCAGACUCCUACGGGAGGCAGCAGUGGGGAAUAUUGGACAAUGGGCGCAAGCCGGAUCCAGCCAUACCGCGUGGGUGAAGAAGGCCUUCGGGUUGUAGAGCCCUUUUGUUGGGAAAGAAAAGCAGCAGGUUAAUACCCCGCUGUGCUGACGGUACCCAAAGAAUAAGCACCGGCUAACUUCGUG
rnacentral:rRNA from 1 species